AUUUGGUGCCAUUUACAAUUAAGAGAUACAGAUAGUUUCUCUCUUUACUCUUAAAGUUAACAAAUAUGUUUUUAUAUUAAUCUAAAAAAUAAACAUUUAGUCUGAUUUGAUGUUACAAUUAAAAAAGUGUUUUUAUCUGAAGAGUUUGUAAAUAUCUGUAUAACUGUAUAUUUGAUGAUUGUCAGCACAAAGAGGGAGAGAGAGGAACAGAGAUGAACAAGAGCAGUUUGUUCCUUCAACCCUACCAAACUUGUGUGUGUGGACAGCAAAGGAAGAAUUUCAUCGCACAGAGAAAUUUCUUCUGUACAUGUCACACAGUGGAAAUUUGUAUUUAUCUUGUAUAUUGUUUUUGUUCUGAUUUUGGUGUUUGUUUGUGGGUGUCGUUUUGUUUGCAUGGUUUUUAGUGUUUUAUGUGACAUGGUUUUUAUCCACUGUGGACUGGCUGCACAUGGGACAAAUUAGCUGAUAGGGACCACCUGCUGAGGCAGGGGUGUGUCCAGAGGUGGCCUAUCAGCUGUGUAAAGACCUUUUAAAAACAGGCUAGCUGAGCACUGAAGAGAGAGGCCCCAGACUGGAAGGUUAAUGCGAGAUGGCCGGGUGUGAUGCGGCGACCCAGUCCUGACCUCAUGGAACGGCAACAGUAAGAGACGACGCGUGUGAUUGGCAGCAGGGCAGAGGUUCUGGCCCCUAUUUGUUAUGUUACAGGACACCGACGCAAGGGGAGCUGUGGCGGUGGUCGCAUGAUGGAUUCGGGUGCAGAACGCAAGCCGGGCUGGGAAGUGAUGGGCCAGCGGAAGGACAAGAAGAUGGGAGGCUCUUUCUUGUCUGCCGAAGACGAGGCUGGCGGGGACUCUGCUCUAAAGAAGGAAUUCCUGGCCUGCUGAUGGACCCAUAAUGAACAUGUGGCAUAAUUAUAGCAGGGGGGGUUUUAGUGAAUGUAGAAAAUGGUAGUUUUACGGGUUUUAGAAUUGUUUUUAGUAGAGAGCAAACAUUUUAUUACGUACAUUUUAAGGGUGUUUUUAUUUGUGCUCCCUGGCCCAGUAAUAAACUGUUCCUGAUCAGACCUGC
ensembl:lncRNA